ensembl:lncRNA
CAGAGUUAGAGCGGUGUUGAGUUGCUUGCUUUGAAGAUGGAGGAAAGGACCACAAGCCAAAGUUUGCUGACGGCCUCUAGGAACUGGGAAAGGCCAGGAACACCUUCUGCUCUAGAGCCUCCAGAAGGAACACGAUUCUGUUGACGCCUUGACUUCAAGCAAGGUACUAAUAAAUAAGCAUGGAAACUUCUAGAAGAAAGAAAUCCACUAAGAUUGGGACUGUGGUGCUUGAGACUGAUGUGGGGUGCACCCAGCAAGAAGAUACCAAGUAGCCCCAGAUGGAGGAUGAAGUGAGUAAUAGAUUCAAGGAGUUAGAGCCUGACAGGAAAACAUCAGUAUUUCUGAACAAAAAGAGUGGAAAAGUCUUCGAUAUUUGGAAGUGAGUUGUGGAUGAAGAAUACCAUUGCAUCACAACUGCAUUGUGUGGCUAAACUAGUGAUGUAGAGGUGGAUGCUGAUUCAGAUCUACUGCCAAUGAACGAACAGCCCUCUGUGUCCAGGAGCUGUCAACACCAUGUACCUCUGUGUGUGAUUUGUGGAUGAUUUGUGUGCCUCUUGCCAACAGAGUUCAUAAACUAAAGAUUAAUGAAAGGAAGAGGCAACCCGUUGGGGGCAAAGCGCUGGUAAAGCAGCAAGGUCUUUUGCUUGUUGGAGCUGGAAUAACCAGGAGGAUUCAUCAUUGUUUCAGCUGACUUUGGUGUCUGGCCAAGCCAGAGGCACUGACUGCAAGCACAUUUGGCUUCGUCUCCUCCUCUGCUACCCCUGGUGCCCAGCAAUCCUGCCACCACUGCAUAAGUUGUCGCCAGACUGAAAACCAGUAGUAGAACUCCUCCUUCUUCCUCCUUCUUUGCUAUUUUUAGAGAAAUCUGAAUAACAAGCUAUUCCCCUCAUUUAUUAUUCUUGAUGAAUGGUAAAUUAUUCUAAUAGUAUUGACUUCUAUUCAUUUAUUAUUUGAGGAUGAUUAGAAGUGAAUAGCUGUUACAAAGCCUCACCAGUUCCAAAAAUUAGCCCUUGGAAUUUUGUGUUUCCUUUUGACUCUGAGUAAUUAUCUUUGUUGCUUCCUCUAGUUCUGUCACACACACCUCUUUCUUUUUUUCUAGUCAUGGUCUGUUUUGAGUCCAGAAUCAGGAUGGCCAGUUCUUAAAAGUUUAUCCACAGAGGUGAUGAAUGAGCUUCUGAAAUAUGAUUUCCCUUAGACACACAGGGUUUUAAAAUUAUAUUUAAAUUCAACAAGGUCCCAUAACUCACUCACAACUGUGUUAUUUAAAGGUACAGAAUACUAUGUAAGACACAGCUUACGGAUGGCAACAGAGGUAUAUGAUAGGAUAAAUCACAGUGCUUUUUACAGAAUAGACUGUGUGGUUUUAAUCUGGGAGUAAAAUAACAUGUAGGAUGAAAAAAUUAUUAUUCUUAUUUUUGGAUAAUGAGACUUUUUAUGAACCCCUCUAAUCUGGGCAUUGGAAGCUGCAACCUACCUCCUCAGCCUUAUCUCCCUCACAGCUCUCCAAACAUUCUUUACCCAAGUCAAAGUGGACUCAUUGCUUUUCCUCAAAGAUGACAGCUUUCCCACAAUCUAAAUUAUCUGCUCUUCUUUCCUCGAAUAUUUUUUUUAGUUUCUCCACACCACCUCCCAUUCUCCACCUGUGAAAAUUUAAUUCUUCCAUGAAGGCUCACUUUAAAGCCCUUCUUUAAUCCCCUCAUCUCAAAAUAUUUUCUCCCUUCUGUAAUACUGUCGUCUUCUUCUGAAGGACUCCAUUCACAAUUGCCUACUGUCAUGUAUCAGGACAGAUUCAGGUUUUAUGAGGCUUCAUGCUUACAUAAUUUGGGGGAUCUUUUCCAGGAAAAUAAAUAUGAAAUUACAGAUACAACUAUAGAUACAAAAGGGAAUGUUUUUGGGUGAUACCAGUGUAAAUGGUUGAGUAAGAAACUCCAAAAGUCUACCCCUUGAUAAGACCAACAACAACAGCAACAAAAAAAAAUUGUAAAAAUUGGCAGAAUUAAUAUUUUUUGAACUUUGGAAGCUAACUAAAAGCUUCUGGCAAUCCAGGGAGUGCUUUUUCAAGAAAAGCACUGAGUCUUGGUAAGAACACUGAGGUUUGUGGCAUUUUAAUUUAUAGGUAUACCUCAGAGAUAUUGUGGGUUUUGUUCUAGACCACUGCAAUAAAGCAAAUAUCACAAUAAAGUGAGUCAUGCAAAUUUUUUGGUUUCCCAGUGUGUAUAAAAGUUAUCUUUACGGUAUAAUUUAGUCUAUUAAAUGUGCAAUAGCAUUAUGUCUAAAAAGACAAUGUACAUACCUUAAUUAAAAUAUCCUUUAUUGCUAAAAAAUUAUAACCAUCAUCUGAGCCUUCAGUGAGUCAUAAUCUUUUUGCUGGUGAAGGGUCUUGAAAAAAACUCAAUGUCUGUGAAGUACAAUAAAGUGAAGCUCAAUAAAACAA